rnacentral:rRNA from 1 species
AGAGUUUGAUCUUGGCUCAGGAUGAACGCUGGCGGCGUGCCUAAUACAUGCAAGUCGAACGCUUUGUGCUUAAUUGAUAUGAUGAGCUUGCUCUGAUUUGAUUUUUUGAUUUCAAAGAGUGGCGAACGGGUGAGUAACACGUGGGUAACCUACCUCUUAGCAGGGGAUAACAUUUGGAAACAAGUGCUAAUACCGUAUAAUACCAACAACCGCAUGGUUGUUGGUUGAAAGAUGGUUCUGCUAUCACUAAGAGAUGGACCCGCGGUGCAUUAGCUAGUUGGUAAGGUAAUGGCUUACCAAGGCAAUGAUGCAUAGCCGAGUUGAGAGACUGAUCGGCCACAAUGGGACUGAGACACGGCCCAUACUCCUACGGGAGGCAGCAGUAGGGAAUCUUCCACAAUGGGCGCAAGCCUGAUGGAGCAACGCCGCGUGUGUGAUGAAGGGUUUCGGCUCGUAAAACACUGUUAUAAGAGAAGAACGGCACUGAGAGUAACUGUUCAGUGUGUGACGGUAUCUUACCAGAAAGGAACGGCUAAAUACGUGCCAGCAGCCGCGGUAAUACGUAUGUUCCAAGCGUUAUCCGGAUUUAUUGGGCGUAAAGCGAGCGCAGACGGUUAUUUAAGUCUGAAGUGAAAGCCCUCAGCUCAACUGAGGAAUUGCUUUGGAAACUGGAUGACUUGAGUGCAGUAGAGGAAAGUGGAACUCCAUGUGUAGCGGUGAAAUGCGUAGAUAUAUGGAAGAACACCAGUGGCGAAGGCGGCUUUCUGGACUGUAACUGACGUUGAGGCUCGAAAGUGUGGGUAGCAAACAGGAUUAGAUACCCUGGUAGUCCACACCGUAAACGAUGAGUGCUAGAUGUUCGAGGGUUUCCGC